AAUGCCAAGAUGAGUCGC
rnacentral:tRNA from 1 species